rnacentral:rRNA from 1 species
AGAGUUUGAUCCUGGCUCAGGACGAACGCUGGCGGCGUGCCUAAUACAUGCAAGUAGAACGCUGACUACUUUAGCUUGCUAGAGUAGAAGGAGUUGCGAACGGGUGAGUAACGCGUAGGUAACCUGCCUACUAGCGGGGGAUAACUAUUGGAAACGAUAGCUAAUACCGCAUAACAGUGUUUAACACAUGUUAGAUGCUUGAAAGAUGCAAAUGCAUCACUAGUAGAUGGACCUGCGUUGUAUUAGUUAGUUGGUGGGGUAACGGCCUACCAAGGCGACGAUACAUAGCCGACCUGAGAGGGUGAUCGGCCACACUGGGACUGAGACACGGCCCAGACUCCUACGGGAGGCAGCAGUAGGGAAUCUUCGGCAAUGGGGGCAACCCUGACCGAGCAACGCCGCGUGAGUGAAGAAGGUUUUCGGAUCGUAAAGCUCUGUUGUAAGAGAAGAACGUGUGUGAGAGUGGAAAGUUCACACAGUGACGGUAACUUACCAGAAAGGGACGGCUAACUACGUGCCAGCAGCCGCGGUAAUACGUAGGUCCCGAGCGUUGUCCGGAUUUAUUGGGCGUAAAGCGAGCGCAGGCGGUUUAAUAAGUCUGAAGUUAAAGGCAGUGGCUUAACCAUUGUUCGCUUUGGAAACUGUUAAACUUGAGUGCAGAAGGGGAGAGUGGAAUUCCAUGUGUAGCGGUGAAAUGCGUAGAUAUAUGGAGGAACACCGGUGGCGAAAGCGGCUCUCUGGUCUGUAACUGACGCUGAGGCU